UCCCUUCUGGCUCAGCUGGUAAAGAAUCCGUCUGCUAUGCGGGAGACCUGAGUUCGAUCCUUGGGUUGGGAA
rnacentral:tRNA from 1 species